rnacentral:rRNA from 1 species
CUUUACUGUAGCCUGGGAUUGGGUUCGGGCUUUAACUGCGCAGGAUAGGUGGGAGACUAUGAAGGUGCCCUUGUGGGGGCACUGGAGUCAACGGUGAGAUACCACUCUGUUAAGGCUAGAAUUCUAACCGAUAGCCGUUAUCCGGCAUCGGGACAGUUUCAGGUGGGCAGUUUGACUGGGGCGGUCGCCUCCUAAAAGAUAACGGAGGCGCACAAAGGUUUCCUCAGGCUGGUUGGAAAUCAGCCGAAGAGUGUAAAGGCACAAGGGAGCUUGACUGUGAGAGUGACAACUCGAGCAGGGUGGAAACACGGUCUUAGUGAUCCGACGGCGCAGAGUGGAACGGCCGUCGCUCAACGGAUAAAAGUUA